UGCUCUUCAAUCCUCUUAGCCACAUCUCCAUCCAUCAAUGGCCAGCACAAUAUGACUCUUCUCAAGAACCUAUUUGUCUUCCUAGAGUAGAUCGAGAUUAACAACAUGCAGCGGAACAAUCCUAGGAGGUCUCUUGCUGACUUAACUUUCAUGUGUUUGAGAACGAGAGAGGAACGCAUUUGCAUUAGCACUGUGAAGAAAUGAAUGUCAGCAUAAAUGAACAGUACAAUACGGAUGUUGGUGUGAAGGCCGAUACAUGUAACUUCUUUGCUGCAGG